rnacentral:rRNA from 2 species
CCACACGACUCUCGGCAACGGAUAUCUCGGCUCUCGCAUCGAUGAAGAACGUAGCAAAAUGCGAUACCUGGUGUGAAUUGCAGAAUCCCGCGAACCAUCGAGUUUUUGAACGCAAGUUGCGCCCGAGGCCUUCUGGUUGAGGGCACGUCUGCCUGGGCGUCACGC